rnacentral:rRNA from 1 species
AUAUCUGCUUGUGGGGCCCCGCAGCAGAAAUCUCGAUGUCGGACUUCAAUGUCUGUAGUUCGAAUCCCGCCUGCGGCGCAAGAACACAUUUGUUUAGAGCUUAGGCUCACGAUGCUGUUUCCUACACCUGGUGGGCGGCUGAAUGCCGCCUACCAGAAAUCCAAGUUAAACAAUUCGUAAGAUGUAAUUAAUACGGCUGAUAGGCCAAUGCUUAUAAGGGGUUGUGAUAUUACAUAUGACCAAGUCAGAGAACUUUAGGUUUACCUAGAGGUAUCUGAUUUGCGAUAACAGACUAUCAUCUGUUAGUAAGGUAAGAAAUCGGCGUGGUUAGCAGAAUAGUUUGAAUGACUAGCCAAAGGACGUGAAAGCCGUGUAUGCGAAAACGACGCUGACCUUAUGUAUGUUUUAUCGAGUAGGGCGGGGCACGAGAAACCCUGUCUGAAUCCGGCUGGACCACCAGCCAAGGCUAAAUAUGAUAUACGAUCGAUAGUGAACUAGUACCGCGAGGGAAAGGUGAAAAGAACCCCGGGAGGGGAGUGAAAUAGAUCCUGAAACUCUGUGCCUACAAGGAGUCGGAGCCGGCUUGUCCGGUGACGGCGUGCUUUUUGUAGAACGAUCCAGCGAGUUAAUUUUUGAUGCAAGGUUAAGUCAAUUGACGGAGCCACAGUGAAAGCGAGCCUGAAUAGGGCGAAUUAGUAUCAGGAAUUAGACCCGAAACCGGGUGACCUAACCAUGGGCAGGUUGAAGCUUCUGUAACAGGAAGUGAAGGACCGAACCGUCGUACGCAGCAAAGUGCUCGGAUGACCUGUGGUUAGCGGUGAAAUGCCAAUCGAACUCGGAGAUAGCUGGUUCUCCUCGAAAUAGCUUUAGGGCUAGCGUCGCGUAAUUCGCAUAUGGGGGUAGAGCUCUGUAAAGGACUGGGGCUGGCAACGGUACCCACCCUUAACAAACUACGAAUACCAUAUGUUUUAGCGCGGCAGUCAGAACGGCGGGGCUAAGCUCGUCGCUCGAAAGGGAAACAGCCCAGACCAUCGUCUAAGGUCCCUAAAUUUACACUCAGUGGGAAACAAGGUGAGAUUUCUUAAACAGCGAGGAUGUUGGCUUAGAAGCAGCCAUUCAUUUAAAGAGUGCGUAACAGCUCACUCGUCAAGAGAUUUUGCGUGGAAAAUGUAACGGGGCUAAAGUGUAAUACCGAAGACAUGGAUGCCGCCAGUUUUUCGUACAUCUGCACAUUUUCGUUGAUACCCGGCAGGGGCUAUCAACCAAAAUCAUUAGAUAAAGUGUAGGUGUCUGAAAAUCUGGCGGCGUGGUAGAGGAGCGUUCCUAUCUGCAGUGAAGCAACAUUGGAAAGUGUUGUGGAGCGUUAGGAAGUGAGAAUGCUGGAAUGAGUAACCAUAAGACAGGUGAGAAUCCUGUCGGCCGUAAGAGCAAGGUUUCCUGAGCCAUGGUAAUCAUCUCAGGGUUAGUCGGGCCUAAGCCGAGGCGCAUAGCGUAGGCGAUGGACAUCAGGUUAAUAUUCCUGAACCGGCGUGUUUUGUACACUGUUCACGGCGAGAUAUUCGGAGCGGAUUCAUGGUAUGUAUCCGUCUAACUUGGCAGGAAUGCUAAAGGAAUGAAAGUUACCCUUCGGGGUGACGAUUCUGGAAAAGGCGCUGGCUAGAAAAGCAGGUGUACGUGUGGACAUGUCCGACCGUACCGCAAACCGACACAGGUGCUCGAGUCGAGUAGACUCAGGCUUACGAGAGACCCUUCGCUAAGGAACUCGGCAAUACAGCGACCGUAACUUCGGGAUAAGGUCUGCCCCCACUUCGGUGGAUAUAAAGCCGCGUUCACUCAGCAAGAAGAGUGGAACAUAACAGGUUAAACGUGUGGAGUAACUACCACACAUGAGUACGCCUAGAUUCUUCGGAAUUUACGGUGAACAAAUCCUUUUUAUAACCAAAUAGAUUUUUUCUGAGAUAAGUAACAAAUGAUUUUGUUCUUUUGAACGUGGAUUACCUUCGUAUCUAACGAUGUGGGGGCCGCAGCAAAAGAGCCCACGGAACUGUUUAUCAAAAACACAGGUCUCUGCUAACACGAAAGUGGAUGUAUAGGGGCUGACUCCUGCCCGGUGCUGGAAGGUUAAGGGGAGCGCUUCACGGUGCGAACUGAAGCCCCAGUGAACGGCGGCGGUAACUAUAACCGUCCUAAGGUAGCGAAAUUCCUUGUCAGGUAAGUUCUGACCCGCACGAAUGGAGUAAUCAUGUGGGCACUGUCUCAGCGAAGGCCUCGGUGAAAGUGCAUUGGCGGUAAAGAUGCCGUCUGUCCGUACCAGGACGAGAAGACCCCAUGGAGCUUUACUACAGCUUUACAUUGAUCCGGGUUAAAACAUGUGUAGCAUAGCUGGGAGGCUUUGAAGCGGAUGCGCUAGCAUUCGUGGAGCCGCCGGUGAAAUACCAGCCUUGUUUUGAUCUUGAUCUCACGUGCACCGUUAUCCGGUGUGCGGACCGUGUAUGGUGGGUAGUUUAACUGGGGCGGUUGCCUCCUAAAGAGUAGCGGAGGCGUUCAAAGGUUGGCUAGCUUCGGAUGGAAAUCGAAGUGAUAGUGUAUGCGCAUAAGCCAGCUUGACUGUGAGGAGUACAUUCCAAGCAGAGACGAAAGUCGGAGCAAGUGAUCCGCUGUACGUACAUUUGUACAUGAACGUGGGAUCGACAGCGCAAACGGAUAAAAGUUACCCUGGGGAUAACAGGCUUAUAGCGCCCAAUAGUUCACAUAGACGGCGCUGUUUGGCACCUCGAUGUCGGCUCAUCACAUCCUGGAGGGGGAGCACCUUCCAAGGGUUCGGCUGUUCGCCGAUUAAAGUGGUACGCGAGCUGGGUUCAGAACGUCGUGAGACAGUUCGGUUUAUAUCCGGUACGGACGAUAGGAAAUUUGAGAGGAUCUGCCCCUAGUACGAGAGGACCGGGGUGGACGAACCUCUGGUGUAUCGAUUGUGGCCACCUGCUGCAUUGUCGAGUAGCUAAGUUCGGAAUAGAUAAGCGCUGAAAGCAUAUUAAGCGCGAAACUAACCUCAAGAUUAGAUUUCCCUAUGAGGACACUGAAAGAAUAUCAGUUUGAUAGGUGCAAGGUGGAAGUGCGGUAACGUAUGGAGCUGAAGCAUACUAAUAGUCCCAUCGCCUUUUUA